rnacentral:rRNA from 1 species
UACGUAGGGUGCGAGCGUUAAUCGGAAUUACUGGGCGUAAAGCGUGCGCAGGCGGUCUCGUAAGCUGGGUGUGAAAGCCCCGGGCUUAACCUGGGAAUGGCAUUCAGGACUGCGAGGCUCGAGUGUGGCAGAGGGAGGUGGAAUUCCACGUGUAGCAGUGAAAUGCGUAGAGAUGUGGAGGAACACCGAUGGCGAAGGCAGCCCCCUGGGCUGAGAUUGACGCUCAGGCACGAAAGCGUGGGGAGCAAACAGG